GACGGUUAGCGCGGAUUAUAAUUAAGAGAGCCGCGGAUUCGAAACAAUACGUACGAAAGCGUAGAAAUAAUUAAUACUCUGAAAGUGGACGUGUUUCCUCGGUUUCGCGAUCGAACGCAGCAGCGAGCGAGGGAGCGAGCAAACGGGGCCGUAUCCUAACCGUGGCCGCUUGAAAACGCUUAUUUACAUUCUAUUUUUCAGCAAUAGACCCUGACGUAGUAAAACGAUGCAUUAUCGAGGCCUGUACUUUAAGUACGUUUACCUCGCCGCACGGGAUAGUGGGCAGAGCCGAUUCCUAGCCUCAGAAGUUCAUCCACCGUGUAGCCGAGGUGCUAUUGUUCCAGAACCAGCCAAAGGAGACGAGACGAGAAGCGGAGGAGAAGGAGGAAGAAGAAGUUAGCGAACGAGGUGGAGGAGGAUGCUAUCGAGAAAGAGGUGUAUCUAAGUACACGUACACGUGUACACAUGGAAGAAAAGUAGGCCUUUGCUGUGGAGUUCAAACGAUUCUUACGCAUCACCAGCGCGCACGCGUACACGUUAAUUUCAAUCGGCGGCGCGCAAACUUUUCGUUACAGUCUAUUUCGCAAGCCCGCUGCCAACUAAAGGUCAUCGACGCUCCGGCGAUUCUUGAUAAUUAUUCUCGCUAAGAUUGUUAUCGCUUCGUGGGCCAAUCUGGAGAAGUCAUUCGCAGGAUACGUCUCUCGCCAUCUUCUUCUUGGCCGUCUUUUUAUUCAAUAGCCAUCCCGAAGCCCACGAACCGCGUUACAUUCCAGCUUCGAUCUUCCAGCGAUCUCACCAGGUCUUCUUCCUUCACGGAGCAACAGCACCCACCGGGUGUAUAUUCACGCGCCGCGGGAGCUCGCAUAAAACUGCUCCCGAGUUUGGUGGGGUCAGAGAUCACGUUACCAGCCGAUAAAGAUCUCAC
rnacentral:misc_RNA from 1 species